GACGAACGCUGGCGGCGUGCCUAAUACAUGCAAGUUGAGCGAUGAAGAUUGGUGCUUGCACCAAUUUGAAGAGCAGCGAACGGGUGAGUAACGCGUGGGGAAUCUGCCUUUGAGCGGGGGACAACAUUUGGAAACGAAUGCUAAUACCGCAUAACAACUUUAAACAUAAGUUUUAAGUUUGAAAGAUGCAAUUGCAUCACUCAAAGAUGAUCCCGCGUUGUAUUAGCUAGUUGGUGAGGUAAAGGCUCACCAAGGCGAUGAUACAUAGCCGACCUGAGAGGGGGAUCGGCCACAUUGGAACUGAGACACGGCCCAAACUCCUACGGGAGGCAGCAGUAGGGAAUCUUCGGCAAUGGACGAAAGUCUGACCGAGCAACGCCGCGUGAGUGAAGAAGGUUUUCGGAUCGUAAAACUCUGUUGGUAGAGAAGAACGUUGGUGAGAGUGGAAAGCUCAUCAAGUGACGGUAACUACCCAGAAAGGGACGGCUAACUACGU
rnacentral:rRNA from 1 species